CCAGAACCCUGAGAGGACUGGGAACACCAGGACCAAUAAGAGCUAGUAUAGACAACCACAGCGCUGUAGAUCUAACAGUCGAUUUUUCUGUUAGUUGUCUAUGUUGCCCCAUCUUAAUCAGGUUACCUGUUGCCCAAACAGCAAUUUUCACUCUUGAAAUUUGAUAUUUGGAGACGCUAUGCAACUAAGUAUAUGAUUUGACAAAACGUGCUCACAGCAGAUUUCUCUUUCAUCAUGUGAUUUCAAGUUGCUUUUGACUGUAAUUACUUGAUUACCAUAUGUUUAUAAGAUGAUGCAAAACUGUUAAAUAAAGCCUUUGAAUCUUGUUAUAAACCAGAAAGUAUUGAAA